CAUCGUCCCCUCUCCCUCCAACAAAUCCCCGGGUUGUCCCUUUGAGGUCAGUGGGGGGAAACACAAGACAACUAUUCAAACCCCGAGUCUGAAGGAGCACCUGCGUUCUGCGUAGCAUCCUGUGAAACCCGGUGCAGCACAUAUUUAUUACGGAUGCUCCCAGCCAGGUCAUGACUCAAGCUGUGAGAGAUGGUCUUCAAAUGACACUCUAACCCAUACCCUGGGUACCUGAUGGCACAGGCUGUGGUCUGCGAACAAAAUGAACAGAGAGUUUUGGUGGCGAAUGUUCUCUUUCCUAAGAAUGUGGACUAAGAAACUUAAGGCCUCAGAGGUAUACACAAUCGGGAUUUCACGGUGUAGCCUUGGCUGUCCAUACUUUUGUGUCUGAGGCUUCUGAUCGCUCUUCCAGAAAGAGAUGAGCCCUAGGGUUGACUCAACAGAAGAACAGCAUGUUGCUAAAAUAGCAGACUCUGCAUCCUGUGGAAGAAGCACCAUGCUACCCAACUCCAUCCGUAACCCAAAACCAUUUCUGCUGAUCUGUUACAUGAAUCCGGGCCUAUACAGUGCUGAAUGCAGACUUGUGAAUAUGUAUUUCUUUGACAUUGUAUCAGUUUUUGUAUGUACCUGUGUUCCUUUCCCCAAGUAAUGGAAUCUCUCUUUCUCUCUUUUUAAACAAUACAGAAUGCAUCAUAUGAAUAAAAUCAGGGAUACUUUAAAGAAAUAUUUAACAAAGUUUUUACAAGGGGAUAAGUCACAGAUUCCAACUGAUCUAGAUUUAAAAAAAAGAAUAGAACAAAUAGCAUUGUUUUUAAAGAAAUAUCUAUAUGUUGCAUCCAAUAUUUAUGGUGGGUAUUCAUUUUAUAAGAACGUUUUUAUUCUAUUUACUGUUUUCAGAAUAUGAUUAUCAUAACACAUAUGCAAACACACAUGGGUCACACCAUGGGUCAGGGGCAUAGAAGAGAUCAUGUCUUAAAAUACAAGGUUUACAUUAGAUUAGAUUAUAAUGGUUACUUACUUGGGAAACUCAAGGCAAGUAAGGAUGGCUGUUGCAUUGGUCUGUUCAGCUCUGGUUAAACAAAGAUGAUGAGUACAGUAGGAUAGCAGUCUUAAGUUUGAAGUGACAUCAAAAUAUAUUAUUAACCUUAACUGUGAGAUUAAAUAAAAAUUUCAGUCUUUUAGAAUGUAAAAGAGAUUUUUAUGAAAAGUGCCUCACCAUUAGAGUGCACAAGGCAUAAGGGUAGUUUGGAGUUCUCAGUGUGAUACUGUUCUGAAGCAGAGUUGUUUCAUAGAUGCCCAAAAUAUUUUCCUGUGGUUUUCUUGUCUAGGUUUGUGAAAAGAGGGUACUUGGGUCUCACAAGAAUAGGAUAGCAAGUUUCUGCAGACUUGGGAGACCUUGAGAGAAUGAAGGUCCAGGUUGACCUGUGGCAGCUUGGACCAUGGCAGGCUUCUAAGACAGACAGGGCUCCAGAUUUCAAGGCCUGGGAGAUACAUAUACAUCUAAGUCAUGUGACAGCCAUAUCUUCCAGGGAAACCAGUUUCUCACUGUCCAGAAGAAUGUGUUUGAUAUUAAAGUAUGUGCUGAAAAUUUCUGGGAAUGAUGACUGGCCUCCUUGCACACUACAGCAAUGUGCACUCCUACACAGGGUCUUUACCUACUUUCUGGGCUACCCAGUCCCUUUCACAACAAAUUCAGUGGACCCAUACCUUUUGCUGAAUAUCCUGGAAUCUUCCUAACUUUUCUCUCUUUCCUCCCUGCCUCUGACCCUCUGUCUUUUCAUGUGUGCCUAGUCACAGGUAGGAAGGUGUGUGUCUGUGGAGUACACAGAAAGAAAGAUCCAUGUCUGAGAGCUACUUAGAGACCUUGGAAAAAGGAAAGAUAGUGAAGUAUCCUGAGUGGUCCCUGAUGAUUUACGUAGGGUUGUAUGAUAGGCUAGGAGAGGAGAGAGAGUGUCACAGAUCUCGAGAUAGCUCAUUAUGAUUGCCUGGCUAUGUAUAGGAAAUGUUUAGGGUGGGAGCCAAGCCCAGGGCUUGGCAGGCAAAUGGGCAGGUGGGAUGGAAUGUUUCUCCUUUUGAUAUGUCUUCGUCCUCACAUCAGGUUACUGGGCAUCUUGACUUUUCAACAGAGGUUGUGAAUGAACUCUUCUGCCUCCUAGUGGCCCCUGGUUUGAAGGACAUGCUGUAGCAUCCACCUGAGCCCAGAUGACUGGUGGUGGUGGUGGUGGUGGUGGUGGUGGUGUGACACCUGAAGACUCUGGCUUCGGACUGUGGAAAGAAGAAACAAAAGUAUUAACAGCCCUUCUCAUCUCCUUUCAUACUCCUGGCUCUGGGUUGUGACUCUGACAUGGACUCUGUUGCCUGCUUUUCGAUCACUUUCCCCUGGCGGGACUGCCUAGUCAGGCCUCAGGUGAAGAGGUCUAGUUCACUCCUGAUGCAACUUGAUAAACUGGAAUGGGUGGGUAGGGGGGGUUCCCAUUUUGUGAGGAAUAGGGAUGGGGGAUGGGAAGAUGGAGGGAGGGUGCUAUGAGCAGGAUGUAAAGUGAAUAAAUACAUUAAUUAAAAUAAAACACAGAAAAAAUGGAGCCCUCACAGCUGAAUAUAGCUGUCUAUGCUUUUCCCUG